UUUGUCUGACAUGCCUGCUAGAGCAGC
rnacentral:piRNA from 1 species